rnacentral:rRNA from 1 species
CGUGGGCAACCUGCCCUGAAGCGGGGGAUAACAUCUGGAAACAGGUGCUAAUACCGCAUAACAACGAAAACCACAUGGUUUUCGUUUUCAAAGAUGGUUUCGGCUAUCACUUCAGGAUGGGCCCGCGGUGCAUUAGCUAGUUGGUAAGGUAACGGCUUACCAAGGCAAUGAUGCAUAGCCGAGUUGAGAGACUGAUCGGCCACAAUGGAACUGAGACACGGUCCAUACUCCUACGGGAGGCAGCAGUAGGGAAUCUUCCACAAUGGGCGCAAGCCUGAUGGAGCAACACCGCGUGAGUGAAGAAGGGUUUCGGCUCGUAAAACUCUGUUGUUGGAGAAGAACGUGCGUGAGAGUAACUGUUCACGCAGUGACGGUAUCCAACCAGAAAGUCACGGCUAACUACGUGCCAGCAGCCGCGGUAAUACGUAAGUGGCAAGCGUUAUCCGGAUUUAUUGGGCGUAAAGCGAGCGCAGGCGGUUGCUUAGGUCUGAUGUGAAAGCCUUCGGCUUAACCGAAGAAAGGGCAUCGGAAACCGGGCGACUUGAGUGC